UUACGGUGAUAUCACUUUGCAACACUGGUCCUCGUCCGAUCACCUAAGUUAGCCAACCACGAGCCUGGACAGUACCUUGAUGGGUGACCGGUUGGGAAUGGCAGCUGUUGUAG